rnacentral:rRNA from 1 species
UAAGGAAUUUUUCGCAAUGGGGGAAACCCUGACGAAGCAACACCGCGUGAAGGAUGAAGGCCUUUUGGUUGUAAACUUCUUUUUUGAGGGAAUAAAUAUGAAUGUACCUCAAGAAUAAGCAUCGGCUAACUACGUGCCAGCAGCCGCGGUAAGACGUAGGAUGCAAGCGUUAUCCGGAAUUACUGGGCGUAAAGAGUUCGUAGGCGUUUUGUUAAGUAGAAUGUUAAAGACUUGAGCUCAACUCAGGGAA